GCGGGCGUGGCUUAGUGGUAUAGCGUCUCCUUGCCAAGGAGAAGGUCGCGGGUUCGAAUCCCGUCGCCCGCU
rnacentral:tRNA from 1 species